GACGAACGCUGGCGGCGUGCUUAACACAUGCAAGUCGAACGGAAAGGCCUGCUUUCCCUUGUGGAUUGCGGGUACUCGAGUGGCGAACGGGUGAGUAACACGUGAGUGAUCUGCCCCCAACUUGGGUAUAAGCCUGGGAAACUGGGUCUAAUUCCCGAUAGGACUGCAGGGUGGUGCCUGUGGUGGAAAACGAUUUUCUAGUGGUUGGGGAUGAGCUCGCGGCCUAUCAGCUUGUUGGUGGGGUAAUGGCCUACAAAGGCGGCGACGGGUAGCCGGCCGGAGAGGGUGGACGGUCACAUUGGGACUGAGACACGGCCCAGACUCCUACGGGAGGCAGCAGUGGGGAAUAUUGCACAAUGGGCGGAAGCCUGAUGCAGCGACGCCGCGUGGGGGAUGACGGCCUUCGGGUUGUAAACUCCUUUCGACCGCGAGGAAGCCACCUGGUUGGAAGGGUGGUGACGGUAGUGGUAGAAGAAGCACCGGCUAACUACGUG
rnacentral:rRNA from 1 species